UACGGAGGAUGCAAGCGUUAUCCGGAAUUAUUGGGCGUAAAGCGUCCGCAGGUGGCACUUCAAGUCUGUCGUCAAAGACCGGGGCUUAACCCUGGAAAGGCGAUGGAAACUGAAAGGCUAGAGAGAGGUAGGGGUAGAGGGAAUUCCCAGUGUAGCGGUGAAAUGCGUAGAGAUUGGGAAGAACAUCGGUGGCGAAAGCGCUCUGCUGGACUGCAACUGACACUCAGGGACGAAAGCUAGGGGAGCGAACAGG
rnacentral:rRNA from 1 species